rnacentral:rRNA from 1 species
CACUCCUACGGGAGGCAGCAGUGGGGAAUUUUGGACAAUGGGCGAAAGCCUGAUCCAGCAAUGCCGCGUGAGUGAAGAAGGCCUUCGGGUUGUAAAGCUCUUUUGUCAGGGAAGAAACGGUGAAAGCUAAUAUCUUUUGCUAAUGACGGUACCUGAAGAAUAAGCACCGGCUAACUACGUGCCAGCAGCCGCGGUAAUACGUAGGGUGCAAGCGUUAAUCGGAAUUACUGGGCGUAAAGCGUGCGCAGGCGGUUUUGUAAGUCUGAUGUGAAAUCCCCGGGCUCAACCUGGGAAUUGCAUUGGAGACUGCAAGGCUAGAAUCUGGCAGAGGGGGGUAGAAUUCCACGUGUAGCAGUGAAAUGCGUAGAUAUGUGGAGGAACACCGAUGGCGAAGGCAGCCCCCUGGGUCAAGAUUGACGCUCAUGCACGAAAGCGUGGGGAGCAAACAGGAUUAGAUACCCUUGUAGUCCCAUGA